GGCCUGCCGGUGCCGAGGUGGCAAGACCUCUACCGGCCCUCAUACCAGAGGUUAAACAGUACCACGGGCGACCGGGAGGCCCGCGAGGGGGACUACGUCCGCCCCGCCCCGGUCACUGGGUAUGGACUCGUGGUGGCAGUGGUUGUAGCCCAGAUCGCUUAGGGCUAGAGGCCGGGGUUGAGUGAAAGGCUCCUUGGGUGCUCUGCACCAUCGGAGUCUGGAACUCGUCUCUGGCCUCGACGUGUGAGUUGCGGUCUCAACUCGGGGAGCGGCCUGCUCAGCCGUUAGGGUUUGGAUGGGUCCCGGCCCCCACCGAGGGUUCCCUGCGGCCUUGCCAGCCAAGGGGAGAAUCGGUAGUCGCGGCGAAGCUAAGGGUGCGGUUUGGGGUGAAAUGCCUUGUGCAUUCCUCCUUAAACCAUGCUCGAGGUGGAGCCGCGACGCGUUGGCCGAGCGUAUCUCGGCCCCGCGCCCCAUGGGGGGCCGUGUGGGGAAGCUCCUAGCAUAGCCCACACGUUAAACAAUUGGAUUAAAUGUGUAGGGAUACAAUUCAGAUUUUCUCUUUCUCUCUAUGUGCGUCGUGGUACUGUCUCUUGCACUAAUAUGUGCACAUACUUAUAACUGUUUUUUUUUAAGUAGAUACGCAUAUAAAUGCAGACCAGCAACAAGUAUGGCCAGACCUGGAGAUGCCUGAAGAAGGGCAGGAAGGAGGAGGUUAAGAUGUACAGGAUCAAGGUGCUCACUAUUACCAGCAGCCCCAACCACAGCUAGCUAUUGGUAAUGGUGUAGGUGCUCACCCUCAAGAGCUUCUGCAGCAGCAUCAGCUUCAUGGAUUGCAGCAGAACACAGUAGGUGAUCUUCCUGAAGAGCUUCUGCAGCAGCAGAACGGUGUAGAUGUUCGCCCUCGAGAGCUUCUGCAGCAGCAACAGCAGCCCGAUGGACAGCAGCAGAAUGAUUUAGGUGCUUACUUUCGAGGAAUUUUGCAGUAGCAGCAACGGCAGCAGAAGACACCUCAACAGAUACCGCAAGGUAUGAAUAGUCGUAACAGAAGACGUCUGCAGCAUCAGAGUCUAGGAGCUCGCCUUAGAGUACAUCAUCAGCAGCUUCAAGCACCAUAGCAGCACCAAGCACCACAUCAACCACAAGCACUACAGCAACCACUAGCACCACAGCAGCAACAACAGGCAGCUGGAGGACCUGAUAGAGGGAACCGUAGGGGCAGACGAAACUUGAGGAGAACAAAUCCCUACGAACAAGCCAUUGAUAACCUCACUUCAUUUAUUUCAAAAGAGCUGAACUCGCACCUGAACAAUGUAAGAAAAGAACUUCGUGAGAGACGAGAACAGGACGAAGGCGACAAUGCGCCAGCAGUAUAAUUUAAAUUUAUUUAAUAUUUAUUUUAAAUCUUUAUAUAUAGUUUUGUGAUCUCUGCUUGUGUUAGCUAAAAUUGUAGCUGCCACCACCGAGAUACUGUUAAGUCUCCUCUGACCAUUAAUUGUUCUAAUGUUCUGAUUGUGAGCUAAAGUUGUUGUCUCACAAAAAAUGUCUGCGCAAUUAUUCUAGCUUCGCCAGUACGAUUACGUGAAAUAAACUAAACUAUUCCUUCAAAUU